rnacentral:lncRNA from 1 species
ACUUUUGCUUCGACCAUUUGUCAACUGUAUAACAUGACUUAUAUACCCAUGUCAACCAAUACCGAUAGAUAUCUAUGUUAUUAUAUAUCUAUAUUUAUUGAAAUUAAUUUUAUUUCUUUUUAGAAUAAAUGAAAUGAAUUUAAAGGAUUUAUAUGCACAUUAUUUCGUUAUGCUAAUUAUAGAACCUUGCAUAUGCAUAUAAUAAAAUGCAUGGUUCCGACCCACCGGCU